rnacentral:rRNA from 1 species
UGCUGAUGACUAAAUACCUGAAUGAGGAAAUUCAGCAUUAUUGCGUCAGAUGAUGGCGUAAUGGUGUGCACUUUUCUUCUAGUAAGACGUUGCGAUCCAUUAGAAAAGUAUUAUGAAUCUGUAUAUAGGCCCGGGUAGGAGUUUAUACAUUAAGCGAGUAACAUGGCUUUGUUGCAAUGUGAAUGCGUGUAAACUACUUGGUGUUCUUACAGAUGUCUGAUGGUAUUAUGACUAAAUGUCGCAUACAAUUUUCGAAUUGAUACUCCAUCGUGGGUAUAAUGCGUACAUUAUCAGCAACGUUUUAAAUUUAGGAUACCAUCAGGACCCGUCUUGAAACACGGACCAAGAAGUCUAACUUGUAUGCAAGUCAAUGGGAUUAUUAAAACCUAUAGGCGAAAUGAGAUUAACUUGUUAAUGGGAUUACAAAUGGUAUUAAUCAUACUGUUUUUCCAUCCCCGGGUAUCUUAAUGUAAGUACUGUGGCCUCGGUUGCGUGUACUACAAAGAUAUACCGUGAGCAUACAAGCUGUGACCCGAAAGAUGGUGAACUAUGCCUGAUCAGGUUGAAGUCAGGGGAAACCCUGAUGGAAGACCGUAGCAAUUCUGACGUGCAAAUCGAUUGUCAGAGUUGGGUAUAGGGGCGAAAGACCAAUCGAACCAUCUAGUAGUGUUUUCCCCUCCAAA